GCUCCCAACAAGCGUGUUGACAGCCGGCUAGCGGAGCACGCCAUUUUUGUCGUCACUACCGCUGUUGGUUAGCAGGAGAGCGCAUGCGUGAUUCAUGACGCUAUCCACUCCAACAAGACUCCUCCAGCUUUUGGGUAGCCAGUGAACCCACAGCAUUUCAGAUCUUUCACCAUAAAAUCCUGUUAUCAAACCUUCUGUGACAAGUCAGCUGAAACAAAAUUUCCACAUUCUGGUCAAUUUCAAGGGAACCAAUAGUGUCGGAGGGGCCUGCGGGUGCAGCAUUUAAACCUUGGUCACAGAGUCACAAGUUUCCCCACUGAUGUGGAUCGCACUUAGCCCCACAGCCACCGUGACAUGUCACAAAUAAGUAUCAAAAGAAGACGGGAACACGUGCUUUCUUUUAAUCUCCAUUGAGCCGCUUUUGUGCGCUCACGCCCAUGUGACAACAACGGAGUCGUCUCACAGACCAGUGGAAAACGAACGUCUCGCCUUCAGAGGCACACAGAGCUGGUGAUGCAGCUCCGGGGCAAAGCACGUAUAUCACCAGUGAGAGGGAGCAAAAUGUCAAACCAUGUCCAGCGUGACACUCUGCACUCCUCUCUGUUGUGGAGAUGAUCUGCCUGUUAUGGUAACAGGCUGAGCUACUGUGUUACUGAACGCUCUCUCAGAAUCACUGCAGUCAGUGUGUCGUGUGGGCCUCCGCACAUCAAACGCAAAAUAUGACCAAGUUAUUUUUAUUUUUUUGUUUUUUUGGUCUGGUUUCUAGUGCAAAAUGUUUUAGUACACUUGAAAUAAGACAAAACUGACGUACAAGUGACAUUUCAGCGAGAUACAGGGGCUUGUUUAAAGUCAAUAAUUCUUUAAUACUGAUGAAAACGUUCUAGUUUCACUGGCAGAUCAUUUAAUUCAUCAUAUGGAAAAAUAAGUCAAUUUACCUGUCAGUGGAAGCAGUAGUCUUUCAGCAAUAUUAAGGAAUUAGUGACUUAAUACAAGCUCAUAUAUUGAGCUGAAAAGUCAUUUUAACUUUGUCUUAUUUCAAGUGUACUUGGAUAUUUGCACAAGAAAAUAGACUUUUUGUAAGAUUUUGUAUUGUUGCAGUGAAGGGAUGGAUGGUUUGAGGAAUGCUGGGAAAUUAACAGGGAAAACAUUUCAUAUAAAUUAAUUUUACAUGUUUUUCAUAAAAAAUCAAUACUAAUAAGGCAGAUGUAGCUUAGAUUUGCAUGAGCUUUGACCUGAGAAAAUGUUUUUGUAAAAAAAAMAAAAAAAAUUCCAUUCUUUUUUUUUGAGCUCAACAAACACUUCUAGCUGGGUCAGUGAAAUUUCCUGUUAAAAAGUGACAGUAAACUGACAUCAGUGUAUUUUGGGAUAAGUGAUAAAAUAAAAUAAACCUUAGCAGAUACAAAAGAAGUUCUAUGAAACUGACAUGGUCUCCUUUUUCAAACCCUUAAAGUUAUGUUUCAUAGUUUUUCUCAUUCCUUCAUUGAAACAGUGGAUUUUCUUUGUUGUAUCUUAACCCAGUCCACUCUGUAUGAAAUGACAUUGCUUCCCAUCAGAAUUACUUUCUUCCUAGCUGCAUGUAGGUGGUCCGGUUUCUAAUUAGAUAAGGAAUUUCCUAUGAUGAGUCACCUCACUAUGGGAAUACUGGGAAUGCACGACGACCAAUCAGAUGGUUUUCAUUUGGUCAUACAAGCCUAGGAUGUGGUGAUAUUCAAACACAGAUGAUGUCAUGUGUUGAACCAUAAAGCAGAAUCCUGACAUGCGGACGAUAACACAUGUAAGAGCUGAGAAGGUUUUAGGUGCUACGAAGCAGCUUCAGAUAACUCUAGAAGAACCGUAAGGACGAAGUGCUGUUUAAACGACUCAAGCUGUUACGGCAGAAAUAACUCUGUAGGUGUUGUUUCCCCCAAACGUGUGUGUCUCGGUUUAAACCAAUUGGCGGUUUUCAACAAAGGACAUAUUGACACUUACCCAGGGUAGCAUUAGAAAGAGAGAGGGAGGCAAGAACACGGCACAAACAAAAACUUUAUCUGUCAAAACUAGUAUAUGUCAACCCAUAAACUAGUUUUUUUUUCUAUUUUAAACCAUGGUCAGUCAGUCAGUCAUCACGUGUGUUUGCAUGUCUACGUGUACAAGCUCAAAAUUUCACUUGCAUGAUUUGUGUCUGUUGCUUUCCAAGAAGAGGGGAUCAACUGUCGCCAAAUCACUGAAGUUUGAUAUGAAAUCAACAGAGAUUGUGCGACACCACCUUCCAUGUCCCAAGUUCUAAGGACACCAUAAGCUCUUUGUGCAGGGAUACAUUUAUGGUUUUUUCCCUGAUCCACAAUCUCUGAUUGCUUUCUGCAUUUUGGUUUUCAGGAGGCAGCACUAUUCUUGGCUUUGGAGUCCAUGUGCAGUGAGGCACAAGUUAUCUAGUCGCUGUCUUCUGUUUUUGUAGCAACUUACCGCUACAUUUAGCAAUGCUAAUCCAAGAAAGUUCAAAGAAACCUCAGUUUCCUGGUUUGGUUUUCUGCUAAUGAAGCUCAUCUGGUUCAAGGUUUUAACUAUUGUGUGUCCAGAGUUGGUAUUUGUUAUGUUUGGUGGUGUUGAAGUCAGGCCACAAAAGCUGAUGCUAAGAUACACAGAAAGAACACUAAUCUGAGAAAAUACGUCCAACACGCAAGAGAAUACGUUAACUAACUGGUCAGAUCAAGUAAUAAAACAACAACCGUUGGUCCUCAAAUCCAGUCCUCGAGGUUUGGUGUCCUGAAACCUUUAGCUGCGACCCUGGUCCAACAAUUUGCCGCCUUUCUCUCAUCUCAAACCAAUCUUCCCUUUCUUCUCUGAUAUCAAAAGGGACAUUUUUAUGUCGUCACUGUGGAUAUUUCCACUUCCCUUAACCUGAGAGACGGCUGUACAUUAAAAUCCCAACACACACCUCUUUCAGUUUAAUUGUGUUGUCAUUUGCCAGACUUUAUCCUACCAUAAAUCCGAGCUCUGAAACCCUAAAUGGCCCGCAGACAUUUUGUGGUUGAUCGCUUAAGGAAUUUGCAAGUUUGUUUUUGUCUAAUGUCAGGUUUUCCGCGGUUAGUCGUUCCGCUGUUCCUACAGCGGGGAAGCAUUUCUGGCUGACAGGGGCGUGUGAUUAGCCGAGCACAUUGUGUUUUGUUUACAUUUUCCAUAUUUGUGAUACAUGCCAGUGUACCUUGAUGUGUUGAAGAGAUGUGUAUAGACUAUAAAACCAUGAAUGAGACCACCCACUCAGAUCCACUGUUUGCUGGUUUGUUCCCAGGCUUCCUCCUACACAGCAGGCCAAGCCUCCCCAGGACACUUAUGAUCUUUCCAUCUGGACUCUAUCUGCAAAAAAAAAAAAGGACGAAAAUAGUUUUCUUUAGCUGUUUUUAUA